rnacentral:miRNA from 1 species
UUAUUAAGUUUUCCUAAAAAAUCGACGUUUCAGUCCUAUUCAAGGACUUUCAUCAGGAUUAUGUAAACAUAAUCCUGAUGAAAGUCCUUGAAUAGGACUGAAACGUCGAUUUUUUAGGAAAGCUUAAUA